rnacentral:rRNA from 1 species
CGUCGCGGUUAGACGAAGGACCUAAAUGAAAUUUAAGGUUAAAAUAAGAUAAUUGAUGUUUUAAAUUUAAACUUUAAGGAUAUUUUUUUGAGUGAAAUCUGUAAAAUUAUUAAGAGGUUUUAUUUUUUUAACUUUUAGAUCUUAUAAACUCAUUUUAUAAACCAGGAUUAGAUACCCUGCUAUUAUGAGUUACUGUUAACUAGGGUAGUAAAAGAAAAUUCUUCAAACCCAAAGAUUUUGGCGGUAUUCUAUCCAAAUAGAGGAGCUUGUCCUGUGAUCGAUAAUCCUCGUUGAAUCUUUCUUUCUUUUGUAUAGUUUGUAUACCUCCGUUGUCAGAUUACUUUACUAGAAUGUUUUCUUAAAAAAUAAUUUUAUGACUUCAGGUCAAGGUGCAGCUUAUGGGAAAGUAGUGAUGAGCUACAAUAGUUUUAAACUAAACGGAUUAUUUUUGUAAUAGGAUCUGAAGGUGGAUUUACUAGUAAACUUAAUUAAGGAAGUUAAGUUGAAUAAGGCAAUAGAAUAUGCACAUAUCGCCC